ensembl:snRNA U6 U6 spliceosomal RNA
AUGUACCCUUUUGCACUUAUAUAGCAAGACUGGAAUACAGAGGAGAUUGGCAUGAACCCUUAGCACGAAUAAUACAUACAUUUAUGAAAUGUUUCAUAAUUGU